rnacentral:rRNA from 1 species
UACGUAGGGUGCGAGCGUUGUCCGGAAUUAUUGGGCGUAAAGAGCUCGUAGGCGGUGUGUCGCGUCGGCCGUGAAAACUUGGGGCUUAACUCUGAGCGUGCGGUCGAUACGGGCAUCACUUGAGUUCGGCAGGGGAGACUGGAAUUCCUGGUGUAGCGGUGAAAUGCGCAGAUAUCAGGAGGAACACCGGUGGCGAAGGCGGGUCUCUGGGCCGAUACUGACGCUGAGGAGCGAAAGCAUGGGGAGCGAACAGG